rnacentral:rRNA from 1 species
GGGGGGGGGGGCAAGCGUUGUUCGGAAUUACUGGGCGUAAAGGGCGCGUAGGCGGACGAGACAGUCUUUCGUGAAAUCCCACGGGCUCAACCGUGGAACUGCGGGAGAUACUACUCGUCUUGAGUUCGGGAGAGGAGUGUGGAAUUCCCAGUGUAGCGGUGAAAUGCGUAGAUAUUGGGAGGAACACCGGUGGCGAAGGCGGCACUCUGGACCGAUACUGACGCUGAGGCGCGAAAGCUAGGGGAGCAAACGGGAUUAGAUACCCCGGUAGUCCUAGCUGUAAACGAUGAGCACUUGGUGUAGCGGGUAUCGACCCCUGCUGUGCCGGAGUUAACGCAUUAAGUGCUCCGCCUGGGGAGUACGGUCGCAAAGGCUG